CCUACGGGGGGCAGCAGUGAGGAAUAUUGGUCAAUGGACGAGAGUCUGAACCAGCCAAGUAGCGUGAAGGAUGACUGCUCUAUGGGUUGUAAACUUCUUUUAUAUGGGAAUAAAAUGUUCCUCGUGUGGGAGUUUGUAUGUACUAAAUGCAUAAGGAUCGGCUAACUCCGUGCUAGCAGCCGCGGUAAUACGGAGGAUACGAGCGUUAUCCGGAUUUAUUGGGUUUAAAGGGAGCGUAGGUGGAUUGUUAAGUCAGUUGUGAAAGUGUGCGGCUCAACCGUGAAAUUGGAUUUGAAACUGGCAGUCUUGAGUACAGUAGAGGUGGGUGGAAUUCGUGGUGUAGCGGUGAAAUG
rnacentral:rRNA from 1 species